AGCAUCAAAUAAUGGAAAUAAUGGACCCUAUUGCUCAAAUCAAAAACAAAAUUUCAUCAUUACCACUUUAUUGGUUAUAUCAAUAAAAGAAAUUAUUGAGUUUAUGAGUCUAGAUCCUACAAGCAAGCAGAUCUAUCACAUAAUUUAAAAUGAAGAUUUAUCUAUUAUAGUAAUUUAUUCUAAUAAUGAAAAAGAAACUUUGGAUCAAAAAAUAUUUUCUUCUGAUGAGGCUUAUGAAUAUUAAAGUCUGUUGAAGUUUGGCCAUUAUGUGUUGGUAUACAAUUUAUUUAUGAUGUUACAGUAGUUAAACCAUCCGAAUACAAAACAUAUUUAAAAUCCACUAUUCUUAAUGAACCAACUUGAGAGGAAGCUAAGAGAAAGGUUCUAUUGGGUGGACUACAAGAAAAAGGGACAUAUACAUGAGGAUCUGGAAGGGCUAUAACAUUACGUCUCAAGCCAUGGAACAAUAGGAAACGAAAUUCAAAGGAAAAUAUUACAAUACGUGGGAUGCAAAUUAUAGUGCAAAGAAUUGAGAAAAAGAAUUAUUAAAAGUAGUUAUAGUUAUGAUAGUUAAACCAUCCGACUACCAAAUAUAUUUAAAAUCCACUAUUCUGAAUGAAUAGCAACUACCAACUUGAGAGGAAGCUGCGAGAACGAUUCUAUUGGGUGAACUACAAGGAAGACAUGAGCAUCUGGAAGGGCUAUAAAAUUAUAUUAUUUCACGUUUCAAGCCAUGUUGGAAUAGCUGGGAGUGAAAAAGAA
rnacentral:lncRNA from 1 species